UACGUAGGGUGCGAGCGUUAAUCGGAAUUACUGGGCGUAAAGCGUGCGCAGGCGGUUGUGCAAGACAGAUGUGAAAUCCCCGGGCUCAACCUGGGAACUGCAUUUGUGACUGCACGACUGGAGUGCGGCAGAGGGGGAUGGAAUUCCGCGUGUAGCAGUGAAAUGCGUAGAUAUGCGGAGGAACACCGAUGGCGAAGGCAAUCCCCUGGGCCUGCACUGACGCUCAUGCACGAAAGCGUGGGGAGCAAACAGGAUUAGAAACCCUAGUAGUCC
rnacentral:rRNA from 1 species